GGGGGAAGUCAGAUUGCACCAUUUCUACCUCGUUUGGCAGCAGAAGCCCAGAGUCACAAAGAAGAUGAGGUUCUAGUCCAGACGCAGCUGGGUUAUUGUCACUCUAAAGGUGGUGAAUGAAUCACUCCUCCUGAAUGCAAACACCAGCAAAGAAUGCGUUAGAGGAUCCGCCAUCAUAUUAAAAAUUAAAUCCGGCCGCAUUUCAUAAUGGGCUCUCCUUUUUCAAGCACGAUUUCAUCUUCUCACCAUGGAAAUUGCGCUCUCAUGGCUGUUCUUUAUGGUUAACACUGAUGCAUCGGCUGAGGUCAGAACCCUGCUUCUCUGAACAGGGAACCACAAAUGUCACCGACACAUGGUACAGUUGGCAAAUAAUAUAUUUCUUUCCAAUCUCCUGUGUCUUCAGUUGCCUCGCGUCAUGCUUGUGAUGAGAGCAAAUAUCCUGCAAUGCAGCAACGGCGCAGAAGGACUGCAUUGAAACCGUCCACAAGCUGAACAAAACCAGGCCUUUAAGGAAACCAUGGAAAGGGAGGCAGCGGUCUGCCCUGCUGCCCUUCAGCCAGGACAACCUGGAACUCAAGUCCCAGCCCCAUCCUUCCAUGUAGAGUAGGUGCAGAAACUGUCUGCCUAAGAAAUUCUUAGUGAAUACAAAACACAAAGUCCUGAAUCUAACCCACGCCACCCCCCCCCGCCCUGCACACACACACCAUAAUGGUGGAAGUCUUGAGCCAAGCUACCGCCAAUACAGUUUUUCCACCAGAGAAGUAUUUUAGUUUAAGGCGAACGUUAUCGGAAUGGUAAGUUUUCCCUUAAAGGAUAGGCCAGAUGAUGACUCUUUCCAACUACACAGUCUUGAGAAAUUAAAAAUCUAUUGCAGGAAUAUUUAUAUUCUUCUCUC